rnacentral:rRNA from 1 species
UACUAGAGUAGCACUCGCAUAUCAAUAAGCGGAGGAAAAGAGACUAACAAGGAUUCCCUUAGUAACGGCGAGUGAAGCGGGAAGAGCUCAAAUUUGAAAUCUUCAAGGUUUUACCUUGACGAAUUGUAGUUUAAAGAAGUGUUUUCUGUUGGAGUUUUGGUAAAAGUUCUUUGGAAUAGGACAUCAUAGAGGGUGAGAAUCCCGUAUUUGACCAUUAUUUCCAGCUGUGUGAUACACUUUCAAAGAGUCGGAUUGUUUGGGAAUGCAGUCCAAAAUGGGUGGUAAAUUUCAUCUAAUGCUAAAUAUUGGCGAGAGACCGAUAGCGAACAAGUACCGUGAGGGAAAGAUGAAAAGAACUUUGAAAAGAGAGUUAAACAGUACGUGAAAUUGUCAAAAGGGAAGCGUUUGACACCAGUGUUGUUUUUCCGAAAAUCAAUUACGAAUGGCUUGAUUUUAAGUUUCAUGACCUUAAAAGCUUGUUUCUUAUUUUUCAUGUCUUUCGUAAUGCACUUUUCGGUUAACAAGUCAACAUCAAUUUCUUUUGUUGUAAAAGGGUAUGAGGAAGGUGGCUUUCUUUUCGGAGAAAGUGUUUAUAGCCUUGUGCCUCUGCAAUCGGAGAGAUUGAGGUCUGCAGCGUAGAUCCUUCGGGGUUAGAUACAUUUGUGCUAAGCUAUAGCCUUGUAUAGACAACUUGUUGACUAUGCUCAGUCAUGUAGCUUACUCGCUUAUGCUAUUUUACCUACGCUUAGGAUGUUGAAGAUAUGCGCGACACG